AAGGUGGAUGUUGCUUGUAUGCUAAGCAAGGAAGAGGCAUGCCCUACCUGGCAGCGACCACCUUCCACUCAAGGGAUAUAGCACUAUCAUUUAGCACACACUGUUCCAGGAGAAACAAUAAUCAUGAACAGAAACAGUAACCAACAAUAUCCCUACUGACCGGCGUGGCUCCACCAACGAUCCAUCAGCCCCUGGUACAGAAAGAGAUCCAGAAGCUCACGCAUGGAGGACAUGGACAUUGGUAUCGUCUGUGACGAGGGUUCCCCAGGAUCAAUAGCGUCAAGGACAGGAACGCCUGUGCCCAAUGUAAUAUUCUAAAAACCUGUUAUACUCCAUUCAUCGUAGAGAUAGCCUCCUGCUCCCCCUCUCUUACUCACGAUAAUGACUACCUGAUAGUGAUUCCUUAUGCUCACAUCUUUGGCCUCAUGCUGCAAGCUCUAAAGCUUCCCCCUGCAACUUACCAGCACAAAAUAUACCCAGGCGGAAAGAAUCGUGUGACAGUGACUUUCAUUUCUACUUUGGAAUUGCUAGAUGGUUCACUUGUCCCGAGUUCUAUACCAGGUGCAAUCUUAGAUAGCUAUGAAGAUGCAGAAGACAGUGCUGCUAUGGAGGCUAUUAGAUUCAUGGAGAAUGCAUAUGGCAAAGAAAUGAGGGGCUACCACUACACCCAUAUCAAGAGGCUAGAAAAUCAAGUGACGCACCUGGUCAAAUGGUUGACUUCAUCCAAUGAGACAAUCAAGAAGCUGCGCAAAACAUGCUACUACGCUGUCAGGUACAUGAACUCAUAUUCUGCCCGGAUAGAAAACACAACAGCUGCUCGCCACCUGAAAGGUCAGGACAACACCAAAGGAGUUAUGAAAACAGCUCUUGCAAGCAUCGAAGGACUGACGCAAAGGCUACGCUACAUUGCUAUGAAGUUUGAGCAGCGCCUUGAAGCAACCAGAAACAGUUUCUGGUAAACUUUGCUGAAUGUAUCCUGGAUAGCGUGCUUCAUCGGUUACCGCAACAACCACCUUUUGUUUCAUAUCUAUCAGACCAGCAUCUUUCCCAUUUUGGACUACUCCCAACAAGAUAUGUAUAGACUUUAGUCCUCCCUUGCUGCCUCUAUGGUGAAAAGUAGUCUAUGAUGUAGUUUACGAUCUUUAGAUUUUAUUGUUGUCUGUAUAGUCAAGAGCGGUUUACCAUCGCUUAUUGUAUAUAUGUGAAGGUCUCCUCUUCUACUGUUGUUUCACAACACUAUGACCGAAGAAAACAACCUUUCCUUUUA